UACGAAGGGGGCUAGCGUUGCUCGGAAUCACUGGGCGUAAAGCGCACGUAGGCGGCUUGUUAAGUCAGGGGUGAAAUCCUGGAGCUCAACUCCAGAACUGCCUUUGAUACUGGCGAGCUUGAGUUCGGGAGAGGUGAGUGGAACUGCGAGUGUAGAGGUGAAAUUCGUAGAUAUUCGCAAGAACACCAGUGGCGAAGGCGGCUCACUGGCCCGAUACUGACGCUGAGGUGCGAAAGCAUGGGGAGCAAACAGG
rnacentral:rRNA from 1 species